UUAAUAGGUGGGCAAGUUGUAUCUGU
rnacentral:piRNA from 1 species